rnacentral:rRNA from 1 species
AACGAACGCUGGCGGCAUGCCUAACACAUGCAAGUCGAACGAGACCUUCGGGUCGAGUGGCGCACGGGUGCGUAACGCGUGGGAACCUGCCCCUAGGUUCGGAAUAACUCCCAGAAUGGGGUGCUAAUACCGGAUAAUGUCUUCGGACCAAAGAUUUAUCGCCUUUGGAUGGGCCCGCGUUGGAUUAGCUAGUUGGUAGGGUAAAAGCCUACCAAGGCGACGAUCCAUAGCUGGUCUGAGAGGAUGAUCAGCCACACUGGGACUGAGACACGGCCCAGACUCCUACGGGAGGCAGCAGUGGGGAAUAUUGGACAAUGGGCGAAAGCCUGAUCCAGCAAUGCCGCGUGAGUGAUGAAGGCCUUAGGGUUGUAAAGCUCUUUUAUCCGGGAUGAUAAUGACAGUACCGUGGGAAUAAGCGCCGGCUAACUCCGUG